CUCGAUUUCCUGAUUAUUUUCGGAUUUACUGAAUUCCGUACAUUGCCGCAUGAAAUCCGUCGCCGGUUGACGAAUUAUUGCUUUCAUAUUUCUCAAAGCAGUUUGAUUGUUUUGCAAAAUUUUCUUUUCAAUUGAAUAACGGUGUCGUUGAAUUUUACAUUUGGUGAUGGAUGAUUCUAAAACAAGCAAGACGAACUCGAAGGGAGAGAAAUUUGUGAAAAAAAGCAGACGGCCGG